rnacentral:rRNA from 1 species
UACGUAGGGGGCAAGCGUUGUCCGGAAUCAUUGGGCGUAAAGAGCGUGUAGGCGGCCCGGUAAGUCCGCCGUGAAAGUCCAGGGCUCAACCCUGGAAUGCCGGUGGAUACUGUCGGGCUAGAGUCCGGAAGGGGCGAGUGGAAUUCCUGGUGUAGCGGUGAAAUGCGCAGAUAUCAGGAGGAACACCGAUGGCGAAGGCAGCUCGCUGGGACGGUACUGACGCUGAGGAGCGAAAGCCAGGGGAGCAAACGGG